rnacentral:Y_RNA from 1 species
UGGUGGUCUGAUGGUAGUGGAUUAUCAGAACUUAGUAACAUUAGUAUCACUAAAGUUGGUAUACAACCCUCCACUGCUAAAUUUGGCUCUAAA